GUUCUUCCCUCAUGAAUAGAUCAAUGCUAUUAUCGUGGAAGUGGGCUUGUUAUUGCAGGAGUAGGUUCCUUACAAAAGGAUGAGUUCAGCCUCCUUUUGCCUCUUUCUCUCCCUCAUUCUCUUUUUGCCCUUCUUUCAUGGGAUGAUGCAGCAAGAAGGCCCUUGCCAGAUGCCAGCAACUUGAUAUUGAACUUCUCAUCCUCCAGAAUGGUUUGUUUUUCCUCUCUGUCAUACCUCAAGAGGAACACAAAGAGUGAUGGCCUGUCACUCUGAUGCCUCUCUCUACUCAAAUGGCAGAAACCAACCAGGUACAUCCCAGCCUUCUUGCACAUAGAAACACUACACAGCACUUCAGCUGUAUGUUUGGGGGCCAUUUUAAACAGCAAAAUCAUCAACAGGAAGCAGAAAAUUGUAAAAAUUGUGGCACUAAAUAGACCAUGUAAAGGACACAUGUUUGCAAUAAGAAAGCUGAAACAAGAAGGGGGAGUGUCACCUUAUUUGAUCCAGCUAGAAACUCAGGUGCUGGUAUUCCAGCAACACUCAGGCGGCUGCUCCAGGAGGCUGCAGAGGGGUCCUUUUUAGCCGUCAACAAAACUGGCUAUGGUCACGCCCAUUGGGAAACUCAUUGCUGCCUUCAAGGUGAUGGCCACAGUGGCAGAACCUAGGAAGCCAAGAAGAAACCAGAGAAUGGAGACACAUGGCAGCAAUGGCAAGUCAUCAGACCCAGGAUUUCCCAAAGAACACUGGUCCAGGAAGAUGCUCUGUGAAAAAGUGUUCCCUGGUCGGAGAAAUUUGUGAAACACUUUGCAUAAUACUUAAAAGAAUGUAUGGCACAUCAAAGGUAAUAUGCAAUAAAAGAAUUCAUUUUUUUAAAACCAAGCAUA
rnacentral:lncRNA from 1 species